GAUCACGUCGGGGUCACCAGAUGUAGUAACGGGAAACAGAGACGGUGCUGCAGAGAGGCGUCCUAGGAAAGUCCCGGACCUUUUCUUUUAUUCCCUUUCUUACAGACAGGUUACUCAUUACUACAUGAUUGAUAUACUUGUUUAUUUCCUACUAAUUGGUUAAGGCUGGCUUUCCUCAAUGGGCCAUUGUCUUGUGUCUUCCGUGUAACUAAGACUUGCAUAACAGAGUGUACCUACUGUACCGUACUAU